GAUGAUCGCUAGCGGCAGGCCUAAUACAUGCAAGUCGAACGGGAUUGCGGUAGUAGCUUGCUACUACUGCAUGAGAGUGGCGCACGGGUGCGUAACGCGUGAGCAACCUACCCAUAUCAGGGGGAUAGCCCGGCGAAAGUCGGAUUAACACCGCAUAACAUCAACAGUUCGCAUGUUCAGUUGAUUAAAUAUUUAUAGGAUAUGGAUGGGCUCGCGUGACAUUAGCUAGUUGGUAGGGUAACGGCUUACCAAGGCAACGAUGUCUAGGGGCUCUGAGAGGAGAAUCCCCCACACUGGUACUGAGACACGGACCAGACUCCUACGGGAGGCAGCAGUAAGGAAUAUUGGUCAAUGGGCGCAAGCCUGAACCAGCCAUGCCGCGUGCAGGAGGACUGCCCUAUGGGUUGUAAACUGCUUUUAUCAGGGAAUAAACCCCUUUACGAGUAGAGGGUUGAAUGUACCUGAAGAAUAAGGAUCGGCUAACUCCGUG
rnacentral:rRNA from 1 species